UAUUCAGGGGAGCUUGUGUGCAGGCUGAGAGGAAGUCAUCUAACUUCGACCCUUAAACCUGACGCGGAUAAUGCCGCCGUAGGGAGUAAGGAAUAC
rnacentral:ncRNA from 1 species